GCAAACAGCAAGAGGAUUUUUAUUCCAAGCGCGCUGGGGCCCACAGUCGUAUGCCACGCAGGGGUAGAGGACUGCGGCCCCGAGUGCGGAAUCGGGACAGAUUUUAUGGGGUUCACAGCAAAGCCCGUGCUUCGCAAACCAAUCAUUUUAAAACAGCGCCGGAGGUCCGCAUUUGCGCGGGCUCCUGGGCAGGGUGACAGAUUGCAGUUGAGAUGCUAUGGUGCCAGUCAGUUUUACAGAAUCCAGAUAAGCGAUUAGUCAACUCAUUUCCUGUUGUCUUACUUAGGCCAGGGUCACGCAUUCCAGGGCCUAUUUUACGUUCUUUCAUCUAGUUUCAUACAGAAGGCAGGCCCUGGAACAGCAAGAAGUGUGACCUUCUACCUAUUUGCUGGCAGGGAACAGGGUCUGGAAUUCGGGGGCAUUUAGAGCUUUUUAUUAACUUCCUGGGUUCUGGGAGGGUUAGGUUGCAUUUUCAUCCUUUCAUUCCCCACUUCUUCUCUUGUUAAUAGUUCUAAUCUUAGAACUGGGAAGGCUAAAGGUCAGUUUCUCCUUGGCUCGGAAGGCCUUGGUACUGCUGUCUAAGUACCAUGAUCUGAACUGCACUCACUCGUUCUCUGACAAAGGCAACAAACUGAUUAAUUAAGCAAGGCCCAACUGUUCAGUGGGGACUGAUCCAGAGGUUGUAUUGAAAUCAGAGGGAUUAGGAGAUGGCCUCUGUUCUUGGAUUGGAGGUCCUUGUUCGGUUAACACCUUAUUCGGUCCUACAGCAACCGGAGGUUCCAUCUGAGUUUCUAUUCUGAGGUGAAUAGUUAGAAUAGAUCUUUCUUCUCCAGAGCCUCUAUAGAAAACUAUUCCCCAAGACAUACCAUUUAUCCACUUUCAAAUAUUUUGUUGUUCUCCUUUUUCAGUGAAACUUAUUUUCAAGUAAUCUAGGUCUGACGGAGAGCAACUUAUUUGUUUAUAUUUUCCCUCUCUCUGCCAAUCUAAAUAAUUAAGUUGAUCAGAACUGGUAUAAUUGUUGACAAAAGAGAAACUUACCCUAUCUUGCCGAGAGGUUGGCCAUUUUUAAUACCUACCAUUAGAGGUUACACAGCUCCAUUCCUUGCAAAAGAAAUCCCUGGGAUUUCCACAAUAUUUUUCAUUGUUUGGGGGUCCUGGACAAACAUAAAACCCGUAAGCACGGAGUAUAUCGGGGCGUGUGGACAUGGUGUUAAGACCAGGGACUACCAAUCGAAGGCAGACAUGUAGCUCAGGCCACCAGGUCCCUAAGGGAGCUUCCCUUUGAGUGCUGUUAAUAGUAAUACCUGUACUGGAAUCAGUAAGUAGCCAGGUGAGAGAUAAGGGUUUAUGGGAGGUCGGGCUGUCCACAAGGCAUUUACUAUUAGCUUGAGGGGUUAUUGAUAGGGUAAGGAACCAAGCGAUGGAGGCAAAGUUUAAGGGGGUUCUCGGUCUUUUUAUCUCUCCACUCCAAGUCAGGAGGUGGCGCCAGCUUGACGUGGGACGCAUGAAUCCAGGUGGGGAUUCUUUCGACUUUUACAGCUGUUGGUGUGGUCAGAAGUACGAGAUAAGGGCCCUUCCACCGGGUCUCGAGGUUUCCCGCACGGUGGCGUCUAACAUAGACUGAAUCUCCAACUUGGAAGCGAUGUGGAACUUGCAAGUCUCCUUCUCCUGAGUAGGCUUCCCAGAACUGCUUCCAUGCUCGCUGCCUCACCCACUUGAGCGCCUUGAGCCUAGAGAAUAAAGGCUGGGAAAGCAGCACAUCAGCACUAUGUACAGAGGCAAUUUCUGCCAACGGGGGGGGGGGGUCCCCCAUAGGGCAAUUCAUAGGGGGUCAGCCCAAACUGUCCAGGGGUGUUCCUAACCCUGAAGAGCACACAGGGCAGGAGAGUUAUCCAAUCAUUAACGCCAGUCUCUGUGGUCAAUUUGGUAAGGGUCUCUUUAAUGGUUCUAUUUAUCCUCUCUACCUGUCCUGAGCUUUGGGGUCUGUAUGCACAAUGCAGUUUCCAAUCAAUCCCCAAUAUCUUGGCCAGUCCCUGACUUACCUGGGCCACGAAAGCUGGACCAUUGUCUCACCCUAUUACCUUAGGUAUUCCAAAUCUCAGAAAAAUUUCCUCCAAUAUUGUUUUAGCCACCACGGUUGAAGUCUCUUUCUUAGUAGGAUAAGCCUCGACCCAUCCUGAAAAGGUGUCUACAAAAACCAAUAGAUAUUUGUUUCUGUAUUUAGCCGGCUUUACUUCAGUGAAGUCCACUUCCCAGUGAGCACCUGGGUGGCUUCCCCUUAGUCUCUUUCCCAGAGGCAUUCUGGAAGGAUUAGCAUUAACCAGCUGGCAGGGCACACAAUGUUUGACCACCGAGUCAGCCACUCCUGGUAGUCUCAGAACAUAAGGGGAUGUUCUGACCAACUGCUGCAGAUGUUUAGCUCCUAGGUGGGUUAGACGAUGCAUCUGUUGGACAUACUCUAACCCUUCUUUGUGGGGCAGGAUCUCCUUCCCAUCUGAGGUAUAGCAGGUCCCCUCUGGGGUCUCAGAGAAACAGUCUAUCUUUUUUAUCUCUUGCCAGUCUUCUAGGGUGUACUGUCGCCCGGGUUCCAGGGCUUUGGGCAUUUCUAUUAUAGGCAGAAGGUUAACACCCUGGGCAGCUUGCUUGGCGACCUGGUCAGCCAUCUGGUUUCCUUUGGAGAUGAGAUCUUUGGCUUUCUGAUGUCCAGGGCAAUGUAUAAUGGCUAGCCUUUUUGGCAAAUGUAAGGCCUCCAACAAGCUUAGAAUUUUUUCUUUGUUCUUGACUUCCCUCCCUGCUGAGGUAAGCAACCCCCUUUGUUUAUAGAUGGCCCCAUGCACGUGUGCAGUCGCAAAGGCAUACCUGCUGUCCGUAUAAAUGUUUAUGGAUUUCCCCUCGGCCAGCCGCAAAGCUUGUGUGAGGGCCACGAGCUCAGCCUUUUGUGCUGAAGUCCCUUCCGACAGGCUGCUGGCCCAGAUAUGCGGGGGCCCGUCCACCACCGCCGCCCUAGCCAUCCUCUUACCUUCCACUACAUAGCUGCUCCCAUCAGUGAACCAGGUCAGCACUUCUCCAGUCAGCGGUAUGUCUGUAAGGUCCUUGCGGACCCCAGUCUCCUCGAUCAACAGUUGAUGGCAAUCAUGAGUCACUGGUUCAUCGGUCUCUUCAGGCAGAAGAGUGGCAGGGUUGAGAGCGGCGGGUGGAGCGAACGUGAUCCUUUCUGUGAGAAGCAGGCUUUGAUAGUGGGUCAUGCGGGCGUUGGUCAUCCAUCGGUCUGGGGGCUGCCGGACGAUGUUCUCCAACGCAUGGGGGGCUAUUACAGUUAUAUUCUGUCCCAAAGUCAAUUUGUCAGCGUCCUUGACCAGUAUGGCCACAGCUGCGAUAGCCUUCAGGCAUACGGGCCAACCACUGGCUACAGGAUCGAGCUUCUUUGACAGGUAGGCAACAGGUCUCCUCCAUGGUCCUAGGGAUUGGGUUAAAACUCCCCGG
rnacentral:lncRNA from 1 species